rnacentral:rRNA from 2 species
GGAUCCAGACUUUGAUCCUGGCUCAGGAUGAACGCUAGCUACAGGCUUAACACAUGCAAGUCGAGGGGAAACGACAACGAAAGCUUGCUUUUGAUGGGCGUCGACCGGCGCACGGGUGAGUAACGCGUAUCCAACCUGCCCACCACUUGGGGAUAACCUUGCGAAAGUAAGACUAAUACCCAAUGACGUCUCUAGAAGACAUCUGAAGGAGAUUAAAGAUUUAUCGGUGAUGGAUGGGGAUGCGUCUGAUUAGCUUGUUGGCGGGGUAACGGCCCACCAAGGCGGCGAUCAGUAGGGGUUCUGAGAGGAAGGUCCCCCACAUUGGAACUGAGGCACGGUCCAAACUCCUACGGGAGGCAGCAGUGAGGAAUAUUGGUCAAUGGACGAGAGUCUGAACCAGCCAAGUAGCGUGCAGGAUGACGGCCCUAUGGGUUGUAAACUGCUUUUAUAAGGGAAUAAAGUGAGUCUCGUGAGACUUUUUGCAUGUACCUUAUGAAUAAGGACCGGCUAAUUCCGUGCCAGCAGCCGCGGUAAUACGGAAGGUCCGGGCGUUAUCCGGAUUUAUUGGGUUUAAAGGGAGCGUAGGCCGGAGAUUAAGCGUGUUGUGAAAUGUAGACGCUCAACGUCUGCACUGCAGCGCGAACUGGUUUCCUUGGGUACGCACAAAGUGGGCGGAAUUCGUGGUGUAGCGGUGAAAUGCUUAGAUAUCACGAAGAACUCCGAUUGCGAAGGCAGCUCACUGGAGCGCAACUGACGCUGAAGCUCGAAAGUGCGGGUAUCGAACAGGAUUAGAUACCCUGGUAGUCCGCACGGUAAACGAUGGAUGCCCGCUGUUGGUCUGAAUAGGUCAGCGGCCAAGCGAAAGCAUUAAGCAUCCCACCUGGGGAGUACGCCGGCAACGGUGCAACUCAAAUGAAUUGACGG